GUGUCGAGUCGAGCGGACCGACGCGGAGCUUGCUCCCUUAGAGUCAGCGGCGGACGGGUGAGUAACACGUGGGUAACCUGCCUGUAAGACUGGGAUAACUCCGGGAAACCGGGGCUAAUACCGGAUGCUUGAUUGAACCGCAUGGUUCAAUCAUAAAAGGUGGCUUUUAGCUACCACUUGCAGAUGGACCCGCGGCGCAUUAGCUAGUUGGUGAGGUAACGGCUCACCAAGGCGACGAUGCGUAGCCGACCUGAGAGGGUGAUCGGCCACACUGGGACUGAGACACGGCCCAGACUCCUACGGGAGGCAGCAGUAGGGAAUCUUCCGCAAUGGACGAAAGUCUGACGGAGCAACGCCGCGUGAGUGAUGAAGGUUUUCGGAUCGUAAAACUCUGUUGUUAGGGAAGAACAAGUACCGUUCGAAUAGGGCGGCACCUUGACGGUACCUAACCAGAAAGCCACGGCUAACUACGUGCCAGCAGCCGCGGUAAUACGUAGGUGGCAAGCGUUGUCCGGAAUUAUUGGGCGUAAAGCGCGCGCAGGCGGUUUCUUAAGUCUGAUGUGAAAGCCCCCGGCUCAACCGGGGAGGGUCAUUGGAAACUGGGGAACUUGAGUGCAGAAGAGGAGAGUGGAAUUCCACGUGUAGCGGUGAAAUGCGUAGAGAUGUGGAGGAACACCAGUGGCGAAGGCGACUCUCUGGUCUGUAACUGACGCUGAGGCGCGAAAGCGUGGGGAGCGAACAGGAUUAGAUACCCUGGUAGUCCACGCCGUAAACGAUGAGUGCUAAGUGUUAGAGGGUUUCCGCCCUUUAGUGCUGCAGCAAACGCAUUAAGCACUCCGCCUGGGGAGUACGGUCGCAAGACUGAAACUCAAAGGAAUUGACGGGGGCCCGCACAAGCGGUGGAGCAUGUGGUUUAAUUCGAAGCAACGCGAAGAACCUUACCAGGUCUUGACAUCCUCUGACAACCCUAGAGAUAGGGCUUCCCCUUUCGGGGGCAGAGUGACAGUGGUGCAUGGUUGUCGUCAGCUCGUGUUC
rnacentral:rRNA from 1 species